GGCACGCUCCCAUCACUGCAACCUCAACCUGCUGGGCUCAGGGUUGAUGAGAUGGAUUACAUUCAUUUGUUUUCAAUGUUGAAACAGCCUGACAUACCUGGGAUAAAUUCUGCUUG